rnacentral:rRNA from 1 species
CGGUUGAUCCUGCCGGACCCGACUGCUAUUUGGGUGAGGAUAAGCCAUGCAAGUCGUAUGGAGUUCCUAAAAUUUCCAUGGCUAACUGCUCAGUAACACAUGAUCAACUUACCCUAUAGAGAAAAAUAACCUCGGGAAACUGAGGAUAAUGUUUUAUAGUUGAAAAGGCUUGGAAAAGUUUUUCAAUGAAAUAGAUAAGAAAAAUGGUUUUUAUCUGCUAUAGGAUAGGAUCGUGGUCGAUUAUGGUUGUUGGUGAGGUAACGGCUCACCAAGCCGAUAAUCGAUAGGGGCCGUGAGAGCGGGAGCCCCGAGAUGGGUACUGAGACAACGACCCAGGCCUUACGAGGCGCAGCAGGCGCGAAACCUCCGCAAUACACGAAAGUGUGACGGGGUUACCCAAAGUGUUCAAUAAUGAACUGUGGUAGGUGGUUAAUGUCCCCUACUAGAAAGGAGAGGGCAAGGCUGGUGCCAGCCGCCGCGGUAAAACCAGCUCUUCAAGUGGUCGGGAUAAUUAUUGGGCUUAAAGUGUCCGUAGCCGGUUUAGUAAGUUCCUGGUAAAAUCGGGUAGCUUAACUAUCCGUAUGCUAGGAAUACUACUAUGCUAGAGGGCGGGAGAGGUCUGAGGUACUACAGGGGUAGGGGUGAAAUCUUAUAAUCCUUGUAGGACCACCAGUGGCGAAGGCGUCAGACUGGAACGCGCCUGACGGUGAGGGACGAAAGCCAGGGGAGCGAACCGGAUUAGAUACCCGGGUAGUCCUGGCUGUAAACGAUGCAUACUAGGUGAUGGCACGGCCAUGAGCCGUGUCAGUGCCGUAGGGAAACCGUUAAGUGUGCCGCCUGGGAAGUACGGUCGCAAGGCUAAAACUUAAAGGAAUUGGCGGGGGAGCAC